rnacentral:rRNA from 1 species
UACGUAGGCAGCAAGCGUUGUUCGGAGUUACUGGGCGUAAAGGGUGCGUAGGCGGUUGUUUAAGUUUGGUGUGAAAUCUCCCGGCUCAACUGGGAGGGUGCGCCGAAUACUGAAUGACUAGAGUGCGGGAGAGGAGAGUGGAAUUCCUGGUGUAGCGGUGAAAUGCGUAGAUAUCGAGGAGACACCGGUGGUGUAGACGGCUCUCUGGACCGUAACUGACGCUGAGGCACGAAAGCGUGGGCAGCAAACAGG